rnacentral:rRNA from 1 species
ACUCCUACGGGAGGCAGCAGUGGGAAUAUUGCACAAUGGGGGAAACCCUGAUGCAGCCAUGCCGCGUGUGUGAAGAAGGCCUUGGGUUGUAAAGCACUUUCAGUAGGGAGGAAGGUAGUGUAGUUAACACCUGCAUUAUUUGACGUUACCUACAGAAGAAGCACCGGCUAACUCCGUGCCAGCAGCCGCGGUAAUACGGAGGGUGCGAGCGUUAAUCGGAAUUACUGGGCGUAAAGCGCAUGCAGGCGGCCUGUUAAGUCAGAUGUGAAAGCCCGGGGCUUAACCUCGGAAUUGCAUUUGAAACUGGCAGGCUAGAGUCUUGUAGAGGGGUUAGAAUUUCAGGUGUAGCGGUGAAAUGCGUAGAGAUCUGAAGGAAUACCAGUGGCGAAGGCGGCCCCUGGACAAAGACUGACGCUCAGAUGCGAAAGCGUGGGAGCAAACAGGAUUAGAUACCCCUGGUAGCACAGAG